AGAAGCCCCGCCCACAGCAUGUCCGGACACAGACUUCAGCCUGUGCAGCCCUCACUAUCUGUAAAGUCUGAAAAAUAAAGAAAUGAUCAGAAAAAUCCUAAAUAACAUGGAUACAGAAGACAUCUUGAGGACUGUUUGUUAAACUCCACACUCCGGCCGCAAGCACCAGCUGGGAGUGCAGAGUCCCUGUGUCCCCGUCUGCCCGCAUGCGAAUCCCGUCACUCACCACUCAGGUCAUUGGAUCCACAUCCAGCAUCGUUACACCUAUAUAUGGUUUAUUCUUUUUUUUCUUGGAUGUGAAGUGUCUAAAAAUCAUCAAUUUUUUACUUUGUUAUUUGUUAGGUUUACACUGUUCGGGAUCAUAAACAUUAUGUUUUAAUAGUUCUUACGUUU